ACGAGGGAUAAUGUUAGGAAGAGACAUAUCAUCAAACCCCUUGAUUGUGUUUACUGCUUGGAACAAGAGUCUUGUUCUCACCUAUUUUUUGAAUGUAUAGUUGCUAAACAUCUCUGGGCCCACAUUGAGGAAUAUUUCUCUAGUCAGAUUGGCUCAUCCUUCGAAUCUGUCGCCAGAUUCUGGAUUGCUACCAAAAGGUGCUCAGUUUUAAACACUGUUAGCUCAGCUGUCCUUUGGUGCCUAUGAAAAUAUAGAAAUGCUAUGAUUUUCAGUAACACCUCCUGGAUUUCCAUUCCGCAGGUCUUGAGGUUGAUCAGGAACAUGGUGAGGAACUGGGCGAUUCUCUCCUCCGGAUCGUACAAGGACAAGUUGAUGUGCUUCAUGGAAACCCUAACAAGAUCCCUCCAGAAACCAUUGGCGAUCACUUGUGGCUGA
rnacentral:rRNA from 1 species